UCUGGUAGCGAUAGCGGAGAGGUCACACCUGUUCCCAUGCCGAACACAGUAGUUAAGCUCUCCAGCGCCGAUGGUAGUUGGGGUCUAACCCCUGCAAGAGUAGGACGCCGCCAGGC
rnacentral:rRNA from 1 species